GCAUCCUCCAACACCUGGGAGCAGCAGGAAGAAGAGAAACAGCUCAGCGCCGGCUCCUGACGAUAUUAAUGAAACGAGACGCAAGCGAGUCCUCGCUGAGCGGAGAUGUAUUUACCGAAGCUGGAGCCCAAACCACCGAAAGUCCUGGGCGUUUGUCUCCACCAGUCAAACAGCAUAAAUGUUACCAGUUCGGGGAAACAAGAUGUGAUUUGACGUGAGAGUGAAAAGGAGAAGCAGAAACAUACCAGGAUGGAGCUAGUGACACUGGCGUGACCAUUUGCUGGUGACUGUUGGGACAAAU